rnacentral:rRNA from 1 species
CAGGAUGUGAANUCCCCGGGCUCAACCUGGGAACUGCGUUNUGAACUGGGUGACUAGAGUGUGUCAGAGGGAGGUAGAAUUCCACGUGUAGCAGUGAAAUGCGUAGAGAUGUGGAGGAAUACCGAUGGCGAAGGCAGCCUCCUGGGAUAACACUGACGUUCAUGCCCGAAAGCGUGGGUAGCAAACAGGAUUAGAUACCCUGGUAGUCCACGCCCUAAACGGUGUCGAUUAGCUGUUGGGCAGCAUGACUGCUUAGUAGCGAAGCUAACGCGUGAAAUCGACCGCCUGGGGAGUACGGUCGCAAGAUUAAAACUCAAAGGAAUUGACGGGGACCCGCACAAGCGGUGGAUGAUGUGGAUUAAUUCGAUGCAACGCGAAGAACCUUACCUGGUCUUGACAUGUACGGAACCCUCCAGAGACGGAGGGGUGCCUUCGGGAGCCGUAACACAGGUGCUGCAUGGCUGUCGUCAGCUCGUGUCGUGAGAUGUUGGGUUAAGUCCCGCAACGAGCGCAACCCUUGUCAUUAGUUGCCAUCAUUAAGUUGGGCACUCUAAUGAGACUGCCGGUGACAAGCCGGAGGAAGGUGGGGAUGACGUCAAGUCCUCAUGGCCCUUAUGACCAGGGCUUCACACGUCAUACAAUGGUCGGUACAGAGGGUAGCCAAGCCGCGAGGUGGAGCCAAUCUCACAAAACCGAUCGUAGUCCGGAUUGCACUCUGCAACUCGAGUGCAUGAAGUCGGAAUCGCUAGUAAUCGCAGGUCAGCAUACUGCGGUGAAUACGUUCCCGGGUCUUGUACACACCGCCCGUCACACCAUGGGAGUGGGGGAUACCAGAAGUAGGUAGGGUAACCGCAAGGAGCCCGCUUAC